rnacentral:rRNA from 1 species
UACGUAGGGCGCAAGCGUUGUCCGGAAUUAUUGGGCGUAAAGAGCUCGUAGGCGGUUUGUCGCGUCUGCUGUGAAAACUCGAGGCUCAACCUCGGGCUUGCAGUGGGUACGGGCAGACUAGAGUGCGGUAGGGGAGACUGGAAUUCCUGGUGUAGCGGUGAAAUGCGUAGAUAUCAGGAGGAACACCGGUGGCGAAGGCGGCUCUCUGGACGGAUACUGACGCUGAGGCGCGAAAGCGUGGGGAUCAAACAGG